AUGGUCAAGAGAGAGAAAAUAAAGGAGGUAUACGAUGAGCUCCCCUCCGGGCACCAAGGCACGGCUGGGGACGCUCCUUCCAGCAGGAGCAAGGCCGUUACCGGCCCACCGGAAAAGAUGCCCCUUAUCAGCAGCUUCAAACAGCGGGAUGCAUCUCAAACUCCGGUCAAGAAAACUAUCAGGUUCAACUUCCAAAACCUGAACACUUUCGUCAAAAUUCGUGAGCUGUACUGUGCCUACGACUACUGCAAGUAUGGCUUCCCUCUCUCCAGCAUUCGUCCUGAGCUGAAAAGCCUAAAGGAGAGAGCAGUGGAGCCACAGGAAGAGCCAGCAAAGGAAGCAGUAAACAAACUGCCAGAGGCUCAGAAAACAGUAACAGAGGAAGCAACAGAUUCAGCCAACAAAAUCAAUGAGCCACAACACCUCACAGGGAUCCUCAAGAAAGGAAAGACGGCCAGCACCGCUCAUAAAUGUGUGCGCUUUAACUUCCAGAACCUGAACACUUUCGUCAAGGAUCGUGAACUGUACUGUGGCUACGACUACUUCAGGUAUGGCUUCCGUCUCUCCAGCAUUCGUCCUGAGCUGGACAGGCGAAAGGAGAGAACAGUGAAGCCACAGAAAGGGUCAGCAAAGGACGCGGUAAAGAAACACAACACACGACACCAGCAAACAGUUGGAGCAGCUCGCUGUGCACAAAUGAAUACCACUACUGAAGGGAAGUCUCCUAAAGGUAUCCUGAAGAAAGAAAAGAUGCCACGGUCCACCUGUCCAAGACACGUGCCCUUCAACCUUGGUAACCUCCGCGCCCCCGUCAAGGAACGUGAGGUGUACCGUGGCCACGACACCUUCAGAUACGCCGCGCCGCUCCAAGUCACUCAGCCUCCCAACUUUACCUCGAGGCUUCACCAGCAGCCCGUUAGAUCCGCCUCUAACUCGCUGCGUGGCGCACCUCGGCACCUCGAGAGGCCGACACAGCGGAGCAACGACUCCUUCCAGCAAAACAGUGGCUGGUAUGCUGCACACAACUACACCAACAGCCGCCACUCACAGCACCGCCAGCACAACGCCAGCAGCCACGUCCCGCCAAGAUACGAAACAAGGCAUUUCUACGAGGGACAGACACAUCGGGGCACCAACUCCCGCAGCAGAAGUCGCGCCAAGAGAGGCGCAAAGCCGAGUGGUGGCGAGUUUCUGUGAGCACCGGGCGAGUACACAGCGUCGUGAUCAAACUCAAAUGUUCAGCGACGUACAGGUGACGUACAUUCCGGGUGCAUUUCUCAACACCCGCUGAACAGUCACUGUCGCUGACUGGUGAUAACAGAGACUGAGGAGUGCCAAGAAGCACCACAAUCACACUGAGAGGAACGGCUCGCCAGCUGACUAAAAUCACCAUGCAGAGGAACGCAUCCCAUGGAACGGUGCCACUUCUACGGAACAAAUUGUUCAAGAGUGUCGCAUCUGUGGGGAGUGUUUGGACGCAUGUGUGUGCUUACAUUU